AAUAAUAAAUAAAAAUAGUGUGAGAAACUAUUUUUAUUAGAUUUAUAGAGGUAAAACAUAAGUCAGAGGUGACUUGUGCUGAAAUCGGAAUUAAAACAGAAGAUUUAGAAUUUUCUGUUGGAAACGGGACAGAUAAAUUAGCAGAAAAUGCACAGUCUCAGAAAAUUAUGAAAAUUGGCAGAGAUGUCAGAAAUAUUUUUAUGAGGCUAGAUUUAAAGUUUCAUAUUUUUCUGACACCCGAAAGGUGGAAAAUAAAAUCCCACAGUUAUCUGUUAAAGAUUACAGUUCGGUACAGUUUUCGGUAACCGAACGGGGUCGAAACUGAACCAGUGAUCGUCAGCUUGUUAAGUUAAGUAAAACCGAUCAUGACUGUCAAGUUUGAGCUCAAACAGACAUUCAGGGAGCUCUGGCGAAAGAUAUCAGAUUUCGAACUGCCCGAAAGUGAAUAGUGUUUUGGGGUGUAAUGUAUAAAGAAGCUUUUUGCUUCUUUCUCCUUCAGCCGACCACCAUGGCCACCCACGCGCGCAUGGAGAAGGGAGAGAGAAACCCUUCUUUCUCUCUCUAGAUUGCUCUCUCAUCUCUCUAUAUUUAUCGCUCAAAUUCGCGGCGUUGGUGGAGAAGAUGCUUGCGAACGCGUUGGAGGCGACGGAUUGAGCUUUCGUGCGCCCAUUGGAGCGGCGUGUUUUCGUCGCGGCGUUCACGUUGUGGUAAGCUUUUGGGAUUUGGCUUAAUCCUUAGCUUAAAGUGUUCUAAUAGCCUCUAAUGAGUAUUGUAAACAUGUUUCCUCAUUUAAUUUGGGCUAUUUGGGAGUUAUGCAUAUGUUAGGUUUAAAAUGGUAGAACCUUAGAGCUUUAAUUAUAUGCUCUAGGAAUGGGUUUAGAGGACUCCCUAUAUGAUAUCCACAUGCUAAUUGCUUGGAUCAUGAAUCAAUUUUGAAGCUUAUUGCAAUAGUAGCAUGUUAGGGCUCCAAUUUUGGGGUUUUAUAAAAUGUAUGGGUUUGAUCUAAAUUGACCCUAUGUAAACCUAAUUGCUAGGUAAACGAACGCGUUGGCGAAGACGGUUCGGCAAUCCGACGAGCCGUUACAAAGUUGUUAAAGAAACGGACGUUUAGGCUUCGUUACCGCCUGGAGGGCCGAGGCGACGUCGUAAAAUCAUGGAAAUGGAUUUGAAGCACCGUGGCACAUAAUCGAAGACCUUUAAUUUUCGGAUCGUGGAUCGGAGGCCGUUCGGGUAGUCGCGCAAAAGAUCGGGCCAAACCGGAUUACGGGUGCCGCGGGAGGCCGAUUGCAAGUAUCGACAAGCAAUCGGAAAGCGUUUUGAGGUGGGUUGUGCUCACCGAAGCGAUUAGGUCGCUUUCCAUGCUAAAGUGUAGUAUGUUUACUAUUGAUGCAUGAUAAAGUAUGCUAUUUAAGAAUGCAUGAUAAAGAUUAAAGUAUGUCAUUUACGAAUGCAUGAUAAAGAUUAAAGUAUGUCUUUUAAGAAUGCAUGAUAAAGAUUAAAGUAUGUCAUUUAAGAAUGCAUGAUAAAGAUUAAAGUAUGCUAUUUAAGAAUGCAUGAUAAAGAUUAAAGUAUGCUAUUUAAGAAUGCAUGAUAAAGAUAGAUGUCAAGUAAAUGCAUGAGUUGAUGUUAAUUUACAUGAGUAUAUUAUAGAAAUGCUAAACAGAUGUCAAAUGUAAGUAUGAGAUUUAUACUAACCGAGAAUGCAUGUGGUAAAUGUUAAUGAAUGCAUAAAAUGCUAAAUGAUGACUACCAAUGGAUGACAAAAUAUCCACAUAAUGAACUUAGAUCGAGUGGCAUUUGGAAAUGGUAAAGUGGACACUAGAGUUAGUGUGGGACAUCAAAGAAUAAAUGUUG
rnacentral:lncRNA from 1 species